GCCUAUCACAUUCCUUCUUCUCCAUGGUUACAUUGACAGCCUAACUCUGAGCUUUCUCCCUUAAGUUCCUGCAUUACAAGUUUCUGGCUUUGUAAAACUCUGCUGAGAUGACUUUGCUUCCUUACAGAGUGGCACGGCUGUCGUGUGACAUCCUUUAUAAGAAAAGCAUAUACUAGUCAGCAGAAGGUUCGCGGUCCCCCUCGCACCCACGAAUAACUGAAUCCCGCGGGACGGGAUACCUUUCCUACCAACCUCUUGAACAACGGAAGUACAGGACUGACGACCUUGAGCUUGUGGAGGUGAAGACUACAGCGGAAAAACCCAUAAAACAGUAAACUAUUCCUUCAGGAUUUUCUUGUUCUGCACAGGUAAGGCUCCUGCCUUGUCUUAAGCAUAACUGAUCUUCAGCUGAAGAGGAGGUCAUAGCUAGGCUUAGCUUUUCCUUAGCUUUCUCUUUGCCCAUU
rnacentral:lncRNA from 1 species